GCCUUAAUAGCUCAGUCGGUAGAGCACUCGCUUAGUAAGCGAAAGGUCGGGAGUUCGAUCCUCCCUUAAGGCU
rfam:Blastocystis sp. NandII AV274scaffold_508, whole genome shotgun sequence.